rnacentral:rRNA from 1 species
AGGCGUGGAACUUGCGGCUUAAUUUGACUCAACACUGGAAAUCUCACCAGGCCCGGACACCGGAAGGAUUGACAGAUUGAGAGCUCUUUCUCGAUUCGGUGGGUGGUGGUGCAUGGCCGUUCUUAGUUGGUGGAGUGAUUUGUCUGGUUAAUUCCGAUAACGAACGAGACUCCGUCCUGCUAACUAGUCGAGACGUCACUCUUGCGUUUCGAAUUCUUCUUAGAGGGACUGGCGGCAUCUAGCCGCACGAGAUGGAGCAAUAACAGGUCUGUGAUGCCCUUAGAUGUUCUGGGCUGCACGCGUGUUACACUGAAGGGAUCAGCGUGUCCUCCCUGGCCGAGAGGUCCGGGUAACCUGCUGAACCCCCUUCGUGGUAGGGAUCGGAGCUUGCAAUUAUUCUCCGUGAACCAGGAAUGCCCAGUAAGCGCAAGUCAUAAGCUUGCGUUGAUUACGUCCCUGCCGUUUGUACACACCGCCCGUCGCUACUACCGAUUGAACGUUUUAGUGAGGUAUUUGGACUGGACCUCAGUCGGUUAACGCCGACUGUGCUGUUCGGGAAGACUCCCAAACUUGAGCGUUUAGAGGAAGUAAAAGUCGUAACAA